GCCACACACAGAGCUGCUCACAUCUUACCAGAAACACCAUGAGAGAUUUCUCUUGCCACUAAAGGCUUCAGACUCGAGGGCAACAUUUACAUAGAUAAAGCGCACUGAGAUUCCAAGUGAGAAGCGCAGCGGGCAGUAAUGCUGGUUGCACCUCUAAACCCACCAAAGAGCUGGAAAGGCCAAACCCCAAUAUGGACGUCGGGUUAAUUCUUCACAAACAACCUGCGCAAGGCAACAGCACGCUUUGUGUACGUGAGCAUUUGGUUCACAGGGGUGGAAUCUGACAUUGGCUGCUGCAAAAGCCCUCCUUGGGCAGCACAGUGCUUGCCACUGCAUAAUGCAGCAUUGCUGGUUUGGUCCGACAUCAUCUCCUGCAGUGUGUGGAGACAGGCCAGGAGUAUGAAGGCUACAGAGCAGAGCAGGAAGAAAGUCAACUGUGAAAUUGCCUAAGGUACACGGAACAACAGACCAGCCAGACUUCCAGCAAAUCUGCAAUCAACAGUAACAUAUAUUUGUCAUCCUACUGCACGUCCCCCCCAAAGAGUCACCCCAGUCAGUGUUCUCCUUUGAUCCUUUUUUGUUUCUUUCCCCCUAAUCUUGUUUGAAAAAUCCCUUUCUUCACAUGCAAGUGACUCCUGCUCAUGAAAAUUCUGUUCCACAGGAGGAACUCGUAAGGCUGCAGAGUUCAUCCAGGUGGAAGGGUUUAGAUCCCAAAUUCAACCUCCUCGCUAUUAAAAUAAAACAAAAGGAUGCGCCAUUUCAUUGGGGAUGGGCUGCAGAUUCAUUUCAGCCAAAUAGCGCCAACAGCCCUGAAAGAUUCCCUUUUUAACAAAACUCACACUGCACCCCUAGCAGAUAUCAUGUAUUUAAGCUUUCAAGAGAAAUGGUAAUAAUGGAUUGGAUCGCAGUAAGUUGGUGAAGGGGACAAAUUCAAAGCAUAAAAAAGCAAACCUUUUGUACAACCAGAAGACAUGAAUUAAUAAAAGAAAAUACAACCUG
rnacentral:lncRNA from 7 species